ensembl:lncRNA
CAGGAAGUCAAGGUAAAUGCAAUACUAACGGGGAAUUAUACAGGAAGUCAAGGUAAAUGCAAUACUAACGGGGAAUUAUACAGGAAGUCAAGGUAAAUGCAAUAGUAAUGGGGAAUUAUACAGGAAGUCCAGGUAAAUGCAAAGUAAGUGUGUAAAAACAUUUAUCUUUUGAAGAAAUGACCAGAAGUUAUGAAAAUGCCCCAGCAUCAGCCAGCCAGCCAGCCAGUCAGCCAGUCAGUCAGCUAGCUAGCGGAGCACCCUUCCAUCUGCAGUAGUCAGCAGCCUAAUGCAAAAUGCCCCAGCAUCAGUCAGCCAGCCAGCCAGUCAGCCAGCCAGUCAGCCAGCUAGCUAGCGGAGCACCCUUCCAUCUGCAGUAGUCAGCAGUCUAAUGCAAAAUGCCCCAGCCAGCCAGUCAGUCAGUCAGCCAGCCAGUCAGUCAGUCAGUCAGCCAGCAGAGCACCCUUCCAUCCAGCAGUCUAAUGGAUCUACACUGUUCUGUCGUGAACCCAUUUCAGAUGUUCUGUUGUGAACCCAUUUCAGAUGUUCUGUUGUGAACCCAUUUCAGAUGUUCUGUUGUGAACCCAUUUCAGAUGUUCUGUUGUGAACCCAUUUCAGAUGUUCUGUUGUGAACCCAUUUCAGAUGUUCUGUUGUGAACCCAUUUCAGAUGUUCUGUUCGUUGCAGAAGACAAUAGUACAUUUAAAAUGACUUGUCAAAAUGUUAGUGUGUUCUUUCUUUCUGUGUCAACCUCAGUGAUCUGAAUGUACCAGUCGCUUGGUUUAAGCAUUCUAUAGCAAUAUAGCUGCACGGUCAGCGGGCUAGCGGCUCAGGGAGGGAGUCGCUUGGUUUAAGGGAGUCGCUUGGUUUAAGGGAGUCGCUUGGUUUAAGCAUUCUAUAGUAAUAUAGCUGCAUGGUCAGCGGGCUAGCGGCUCAGUGAGGGAGUCGCUUGGUUUAACGAUUCUAUAGUAAUAUAGCUGCAUGGUCAG